rnacentral:rRNA from 1 species
GACGGAGGGUGCAAGUGUUAUCCGGAAUCACUGGGCGUAAAGCGUCUGUAGGUGGUCAAAUAAGUCAACUGUUAAAUCUUGAGGCUUAACCUCAAAAUCGCAGUCGAAACUAUUAGACUAGAGUAUAGUAGGGGUAAAGGGAAUUUCCAGUGGAGCGGUGAAAUGCGUAGAGAUUGGAAAGAACACCGAUGGCGAAGGCACUUUACUGGGCUAUUACUAACACUCAGAGACGAAAGCUAGGGUAGCAAAUGGG